UGGGUCCCACCAUGCCGUGGACCUCCCUCUGCCAACAGUGCAGGGAAUGGAUUGCAGUGGAGAGCUGCCCAGGGGUCCCUGGGGACCAGAGGUAAAGGAAGAGUCAUCUAGCUAAAGGAAGUGUCUCGGACCUGAAGCCUCGGCCAAAACCAGGAUUUCUAUGGCCCUCCAGACAGGACAAGAGGGGGCGGCUUGAAGCUUGGGGUCCUGGGUCUGUGUCUCGCCGAACUGUGGACAUCUGCGGGUGGGCGAGGCACCAGGCAAACUGACUUUGGACUCAGGAGUUCCAAGAAGAUCCUGAAGACUCACCUCCUGUGGGAAGUCAGCCUCUCUGGACAGGACUGACCCCAUCCCAUCAGCGGUCGUUGUGUUCUUCAGAAAAAGGCUCUUUCCGUGCUGCUGGCUAGCAUCCACUACCCCUCUAUGCCCGCCCAAAGGCGGGGGUAUGGCUUUGAGGAGAGCAGAAGCCUGGUG
rnacentral:lncRNA from 1 species